GGGUCAGUAGGUUGGUCGUGCCACCGGUACGUACUGGUCUCACUGAUUCCUCAUUCCUGAAGAACCGUAAUGCCAUUAAUUUGGUGUUGCGGGGAAACAGGACUGUUACUUUGAAAAAAUUAGAGUGUUUAAAGCAAGCUAACGCUUGAAUACAUUAGCAUGGAAUAAUGAAAUAGGACGAUCGAUCCUAUUUUGUUGGUUUCUAAGAUUGACGUA
rnacentral:rRNA from 1 species